rnacentral:rRNA from 1 species
UACGGGAGGCAGCAGUGGGGAAUAUUACACAAUGGGCGAAAGCCUGAUGCAGCUAUGCCGCGUGUAUGAAGAAGGCCUUUAGGGUUGUAAAGUACUUUUCAUCGGGGAGGAAAAAACAAAAACUAAUAAUUUUAUUUCUUGACGUUACCCGAAAAAGAAAGCACCGGCUAACUCCGUGCCAGCAGCCGCGGUAAUACGGAGGGUGCUAGCGUUAAUCAGAAUUACUGGGCGUAAAGAGCACGUAGGUGGUUUUUUUAAAGUUCAGAUGUGAAAUCCCUGGGCUUAACCUAGGAACUGCAUUUUGAAACUGAAAUACUAGAGUAUCGUAGAGGGAGGUAGAAUUCUAGGUGUAGCGGUGAAAUGCGUAGAUAUCUGGAGGAAUACCUGUGGCGAAAGCGGCCUCCUAAACGAAUACUGACACUGAGGGUGCGGAAAAGCGUGGGGAGCAAAACAGGGAUUAGAUACC